UAGGUUUCACCUACCCUGAAACGCUGACCAGAUUCGUGGUCAACUUGUCCCACACUCAUAGCAACAUUCCCGACGUUUCCGGCCUGGUUCGGGACACUGUGAAUGUUUUAAUCCCGGAAAUUCUCACGUUUCCCCGGCACAUCAGUCAUCUCGGUUUUGUCGAUGCAACCGGGGUAAUGCGGGAUAACAAUGUGGCCCUACCAGAACUUACGUCUUUGUCGGUCCGGGGAUUUAAGAUUCCCGCAGUGGCGAAUAAUCCCUUCCCAAGUGUGAGAAACUAUGGAAAUGUGACCACCUUGGAAAUUAAUGCGGUAACGGAAUCAGAUAUUGCUGAAAAUAUUCUCCACUUCUUGGCCCCUCAACUUGAAAUUCUUUGUAUUUCCGGCGUGCUAAAAGUCGACCUGAUGUUAAAACCCCUCGACCAAGAUUAUUUAUUUCUCCCAAAUUUUCCAAAACUAAAAAUUUUCAAGAUUUUGCGGCGUCAGUUCUCAUUGUCUAGAAGACCCACGUGGUUCCGACCCAGGCUCUACUUGAAGUUUGCAUCGGGUGAAAAGUUAUUCUAUUCCAGGCAGUUUCCUGUCCUGGAGAAAUUAGUCGUCCACGUGGUGCCAUGCCACAUGGGGACGAGGUGGAAUCGUCCCAUAUAAAAUUGGCAUUUCGAAGCCACCAUGCUUCUCUUGCAGGAAACCUUUCUCGCCGAGGGGGUCCUUCCUUGCGAGACUGUCACAAAUUUGGACAUUCCCUUCCGCGAAAAUGUUGGCAGGAUGAAAUUGAGGCGACGCUGCGAUUGCGAUGGAGCUUGUGCAUGUUGGGGGUGGAAAGAAGAUGAUGUCCUUAAUUUUUAUGAGAGGGUGACCACCACUUUCCCAAACGUGCGGUACGACCUACUUCAUAGAUUAAGAAGGAACGAGAGGAUGGCGAAUAUUGAAAAGUUUAAGAACUUCGGAAAGAAAUUGGGCAUUUGGAAUGAUGACGAGAUAAAGGAGAUGAAUCUUGCGUGAAUUGGUGUCCCUAGGAAAAAAUAAAUUAUUCUCAAAUAUUUGAAA